AGAGUUUGAUCCUGGCUCAGAAUCAACGCUGGCGGCGCGCCUAACACAUGCAAGUCGAACGAGAAAGUGGGGCAACCCAUGAGUACAGUGGCGUACGGGUGAGUAACACGUGGAUGAUCUACCUUCUGGUGAGGAAUAACCCUGGGAAACCGGGGCUAAUACCGCAUAAGCUCGAGAGAGGAAAGUCGCAAGACGCCGGAAGAGGAGUCCGCGGCCGAUUAGCUAGUUGGCAGGGUAAAAGCCUACCAAGGCAAAGAUCGGUAGCCGGCCUGAGAGGGCACACGGCCACACUGGCACUGAAACACGGGCCAGACUCCUACGGGAGGCAGCAGUGGGGAAUCUUGCACAAUGGGGGAAACCCUGAUGCAGCGACGCCGCGUGAGCGAUGAAGCCCUUCGGGGUGUAAAGCUCUUUCGGCAGGGACGAUGAUGACGGUACCUGCAGAAGCAGCUGCGGCUAACUACGUGCCAGCAGCCGCGGUAAUACGUAGGCAGCAAGCGUUGUUCGGAGUUACUGGGCGUAAAGGGUGUGUAGGCGGUUGCUUAAGUUUGGUGUGAAAUCUCCCGGCUCAACCGGGAGGGUGCGCCGAAUACUGAGUGACUCGAGUGCGGGAGAGGAGAGUGGAAUUCCUGGUGUAGCGGUGAAAUGCGUAGAUAUCAGGAGGAACACCGGUGGUGUAGACGGCUCUCUGGACCGUAACUGACGCUGAGACACGGAAGCGUGGGGUAGCAAACAGGAUUAGAUACCCUGGUAGUCCACGCCCUAAACGAUGCAUAUUUGGUGUGGGCAGUUCAGUCUGUCCGUGCCGGAGCUAACGCGUUAAAUAUGCCGCCUGGGGAGUACAGUCGCAAGGCUGAAACUCAAAGGAAUUGACGGGGGCCCGCACAAGCGGUGGAGCAUGUGGUUCAAUUCGACGCAACGCGAAGAACCUUACCUGGGCUCGAACGGCCGGUCAACGGCGGUGGAAACAUCGUUACCCCGCAAGUGC
rnacentral:rRNA from 1 species